UCAUGUUCUAUUUAUUCCUGGAGGUAGCAGUGCCGAGUCAUAGUGAGUGUCAGGCUGCUGGAAGGAGAAAUCCGAAUCACUCAUUUAGAAUCAUGCCGAGCGCCGAGAAAGUGCUGAUCUAUGUGGUGUACUGUGGAGCCUGAGGGUACGGCCCCAAGUUUCAGCAGUUGAAGAGGGACCUGGAAAAACGGUUCCCAGGACUGCUGGAAUUUGAAGGCAAAGCUACCCCAACUUCUACAGGAUGGCUUGAAGUGGAGGUAAAUGGAAAGCUUGUGCACUCAAAGAAGAACGGUGAUGGAUAUGUGGAUAAGGAGUCCAAGCUGAUGAAAAUUGUGGCAGCCGUUGAGGCCGCAUUGAAGAAAUGAUGGAAUUAGGGACGUAUGGCUAACUACAGCUUGAGCUGUGAUGGUGGAAAUAUCUUUGCUUCCUUCAUCUUUUCCGAGCGCUUCAUGACGGGAAAAGCGAAAACGCCCAAAAGGCGUGGCGGCUCCCAGAUAAACUGCGUGGUAUGUGAAGACGAAGAAAAUGACGGUGUUCCUUCUCAUCUCUUGCUGCUUUUUCUUAUAAGUUUUUUGUUUUAAAAUGGUUAAUAAAACAUUUUUCUGUUUGUUGGA